rnacentral:rRNA from 1 species
CUACCCGCUGAACUUAAGCAUAUCAAUAAGCGGAAGGA